rnacentral:rRNA from 1 species
GACGAACGCUGGCGGCGUGCUUAACACAUGCAAGUCGAACGGAAAGGCCCUACUUUUGUGGGGUGCUCGAGUGGCGAACGGGUGAGUAACACGUGAGUAACCUGCCCUUGACUUUGGGAUAACUUCAGGAAACUGGGGCUAAUACCGGAUAGGAGCUCCUGCUGCAUGGUGGGGGUUGGAAAGUUUCGGCGGUUGGGGAUGGACUCGCGGCUUAUCAGCUUGUUGGUGGGGUAGUGGCUUACCAAGGCUUUGACGGGUAGCCGGCCUGAGAGGGUGACCGGCCACAUUGGGACUGAGAUACGGCCCAGACUCCUACGGGAGGCAGCAGUGGGGAAUAUUGCACAAUGGGCGGAAGCCUGAUGCAGCAACGCCGCGUGCGGGAUGACGGCCUUCGGGUUGUAAACCGCUUUCGCCUGUGACGAAGCGUGAGUGACGGUAAUGGGCAAAGAAGCACCGGCUAACUACGU